AGAGGACAUAGCAGGGGAUGGACGCGGGGAAAAGACCUGAGCAGAGCCGAUGGCGCUCAAGGAGACUGGCUGUGCUGUGUGCAGAGACAGGCGGGACGAGGAGCGUGCCAAUUCUAUGACAGAAACUAGAAUGAACCGAAGCAUUCCUGUGGAGGUUGACGAAUCAGAACCAUUCCCAAGUCAAUUGCUGAAACCAAUCCCAGAAUAUUCCCUGGAAGAGGAAUUGGAACCACCUGCUCCAAAUACGAGGUCCAUGGCACCCAGCAGCCUGCCUGCACUCCAAGCCCCUCACCAUGCUUCAGGGGACCUUUAUCAGGCUGACCCUUCCCUGAAACUUGCAAAUCACCGGCCUGUGUCACAACAGGUUACCUGCCUGCGCACUAAAGUCUUGGAGGAGAGUGAAGCCAGUUUCUUUAGAAGGCAUCCUGAUCCUGGCAAAGGUGUUUGCUCAUGCUCGUCCGAAGCCAGCGAGCCUGAGUCUGAGCUCGGAGCCCUCCCUCCAGAGCACAGGCUUUCACUUAUGGAGAAACGCAAUAGAUGCCUGGGACCACAGCUUUCAGCAGCUUCUCCCGACACGGGCCAUGACUCAGACAAAUCAGACCCAAGUUUUUCUAAUGUUCUGGUAGACUCCUCCAGCGGCGGCCAAGAGACGUUACCUCGGCCCCGGCCCCACAGGAACAGAGCAGCCCCAGAUGUGCCCACGAUAGACACUGGGUAUGAUUCCCAGCCCCAGGACGUCCUGGGCAUCAGGCAGUUGGAAAGGCCACUGCCCCUCACCUCCACGUGUUACCUGCAGGACCUCCCUGGGCCUCUGAGGUCCAGAGAGUUCCCUCAGCUUGAACUUCAGAGGUACCCAGCAUAUACACAGAGGCUGCCUCUCAAUCCUUCCCCACAGGCUCCAUGGAACUAUCAGUAUCAUUGUCCCGGAGGACCCUAUCACCAGGCGCCAUAUGCUCACGGCUACCCUCCAGCAGCCUACCAGCAAGUCAUCCAGCCUGCUCUGCCUGGGCAAGCCCUUCCUGGGGCAAGAGUGAGAGGCCUGCAUCCUGUACAGAAGGUCAUCCUGAAUCACCCCAGCCCCCAGGACCACGGAGAGAGGCUUGCACAGAGAGACUUCUCUUCCCCAAGGCUCCCAAGGAAUCAGCACUAUCACCCACCAUCUAGUGGAGCUAGGGCUCCCGAGACGUCCCUGGACCAUCCUGCAGAGCUGAGACCACAGGGUCCCCAGGCUCCAUCCCCAGCUGCUGUGCCUAGACCCCCUAGCAACCCCCUAGCCCGAGGAACUCUAAAAACUAGCAAUUUGCCAGAGGAAUUACGGAAAGUCUUUAUCACUUAUUCUAUGGACACAGCCAUGGAGGUGGUGAAAUUCGUGAACUUUUUGUUGGUGAAUGGCUUCCAAACUGCAUUCUGAAGGCUGGAAGGCCAAGAACACGGCUGAAACAAGACUGGUUUCAUCUGGGAUCCUCUCCCUUGGCUUGAGAUGGCCAUCCCCUCUCUGUUCUCACAUGGUCCUCCCCUGAGUGUGCACGGGCCUACAUGCAAAUUUUCUCUUCCUCCAUGAACACCAAUCCUAUGGGAAUGGGGCCCACCCAGUACCUCAUUUUACCUGAAUUAUCUUCUGAGAGGCCCUGUCUCCAAAUCCAGUCACAUUAUAAGUGGCCAAAAUGGGUGAGAGUCAGAUAAUGUGAAGGGGACGUCAGUGUGACUUACAGGUAAUGUGAAGGGGACGCCAGUGUGACUUACAGGUAACGUGAAGGGGACACCAGUGUGACUUACAGGUAACGUGAAGGGGACACCAGUGUGACUUACAGGUAACGUGAAGGGGACGUCAGUGUGACUUACAGGUAAUGUGAAGGGGAAGUCAGUGUGACUCACAGGUAAUGUGAAGGGGAAGUCAGUGUGACUUACAGGUAAUGUGAAGGGGACGUCAGUGUGACUUACAGGGCGGAGGGGCAUGCACUGUGCUGCAAGGGUCCAAGGGAAGUAAUGUGGGGAGUGAAGUAGACAGAGCAUGUGGGGAAAAGACAGUAGCUGGCUCAGGAUGCUUGAUGAAUAGUGAAGACUUGGUUUGGUCAGGUCUAAACAGCAGUGUAACACUAGGAAAAUAACUAUGGGAGCAGUGAGGCUAAUCAAAGAACCCUUCCCCAAAGGUCUUCUCAUGUUCCUACUCUAGUAUAUUAUCCAUUCACUCUUCUAAUCAGGAGUGCCUAGUAUGUGUAACACACACACACACACACACACACACACACACACACACACGAGAGAGAGAGAGACAGACGAGAGAGAGAGAGAGAGAGAGAGAGAGAGAGAGAGAGAGAGAGAGAGAGAGAGAGAGAGAGAGAGAGAGAGAGAGAGAGAGACUUGGGCCUCUAUAAGACAAAAGAUCUGAUUUUUCUGCUCUUCUAAUACCUAAAGGAGUUUUACCUUUGAUCUUAUCUUAUCAAAACCCCAGAGUUCUCCUUGACUUUCAUCCUAACACCUCCCUACCAGCUCAGUGAUUGUUUUUGUGACUGUUCUUUGGAUUUCACCCAAGUUUCAUACAAUCCUUUUGAAAUGUGUAAGUGAAGCUGGACAUGAUCCUAUAAUCAUGACCUGGUAAACAUGGGUCAGACACUACAGUUGUGUCUCAGCAUUUGCACACUACAGAUCCACUGAAGUGGAUCCACACAGAAUCUUCCUUUCAGUUUUUCAAAUUACAGAUACAUAAAAGUACUAUUUCUGUCUUCCUUGCUUACAUCCAAUUUAGUGAUAUACUGUGUCCUUCAGAUUUUUGAACAUAUAAUUAUUGUAUAGCUGCAGACACAUUUUGAUAUGAACCACUAUAUCUUAAUUAUGGAUAUUAGAAACUUAAAUGUCUGCGGAUAUUGAAAUGGGGUGUAUUUCAUGAAACUGUGUUUCAUUGUUUGGACUCCUGCAUCCCUCCUAAAAUAGAGCACUAGUUUUAGAGUUGCAGAAGUACAUUAGCUUCUUAUGUUCUUGAGCUCUGUACCCAGGGAAAGCUCUUAUUAAGAACCCUUCCUCUCAUCCUUUUCUUCUAGAUUGACAUAUUUGAGGAUAGAAUCCGGGGUAUUGAUAUCA